GGUCUUAUAGUUUAAAAAAAAUUUUAAAUUGCAAAUUUAAUGAUGAUUUUCUAAGACUU
rnacentral:tRNA from 1 species